GCUUCGUUAGCGUAGUUGGAUUAUCGCAUCCGUCUAAUACACGGUGCCUCAGCACAGCUGAGUAUUUACAACGGAAGGUCACUGGUUCGAGCCCAGUACGGAGCA
rnacentral:tRNA from 1 species